GACGAACGCUGGCGGCGUGCUUAACACAUGCAAGUCGAACGGAAAGGCCCUGCUUUUGUGGGGUGCUCGAGUGGCGAACGGGGGAGUAACACGUGAGUAACCUGCCCUUGACUUUGGGAUAACUUCAGGAAACUGGGGCUAAUACCGGAUAGGAGCUCCUGCUGCAUGGUGGGGGUUGGUAAGUUUCGGCGGUUGGGGAUGGACUCGCGGCUUAUCAGCUUGUUGGUGGGGUAGUGGCUUACCAAGGCUUUGACGGGUAGCCGGCCUGAGAGGGUGACCGGCCACAUUGGGACUGAGAUACGGCCCAGACUCCUACGGGAGGCAGAAGUGGGGAAUAUUGCACAAUGGGCGGAAGCCUGAUGCAGCAACGCCGCGUGCGGGAUGACGGCAUUCGGGUUGUAAACCGCUGUCGCCUGUGACGAAGCGUGAGUGACGGUAAUGGGUAAAGAAGCACCGGCUAACUACGUG
rnacentral:rRNA from 1 species